AUGCCUCUCCUUAAUGUCAAUAUGUCUUGUCCAUUGCUGUUCUGGUUAGUGUUUAUUGGCUUAUUUCACUGUAGAGCCUCUAGUCCUGCUCACUAUACCUUAUCCAACCUAUUAGUUCCACCACCCACACAUGCAAUGACAUCUCCUGGUUUCAAUGAUGUUUCUAGAGACAAUAUCUCUCUCUUCAUCACUCAAUACCUAGGUUUACCUCCACUGUAUUCACAUCCUACCUUACCUUUGUCUGUACAUUAUACCUUGAUGCUAUUUUAUCGCCCCCAGAAACCUCCUUUUACUCUCUGUUCCAGACGUUCUAGACGACCAAUUCUUAUUGCUUUUAGCCGCACCCUUAUUCUACUCCUCCUAUGUUCCUCUGGCGAUGUAGAGGCGAAUCCAGGCCCUGCAGUGCCUAGCUCCACUCCUAUUCCCCAGGCGCUCUCUUUUGACGACUUAUGUAACCGUAAUAGCCUUGGUUUCAUGCAUGUUAACAUUAGAAGCCUCCUCCCUAAGUUUGUUCUAUUCACUGCUUUAGCACACUCUGCCAACCCGGAUGUUCUAGCUGUGUCUGAAUCAAGGCUUAGGAAGACCACCAAAAAUUCAGACAUUUUAAUUCCAAACUACAACAUUUUCAGACAAGAUAGAACUGCCAAAGGGGGCGGUGUUGCAAUCUACUGCAAAGAUAGCCUGCAGAGCUCUGUCCUACUAUCCAGGUCUGUACCCAAACAAUUUGAACUUCUACUUUUAAAAAUCCACCUCUCUAAAAACAAGUCUCUCACAGUUGCCGCCUGCUAUAGACCACCCUCUGCCCCCAGCUGUGCUCUGGACACCAUAUGUGAACUGAUUGCCCCCCAUCUAUCUUCAGAGCUCGUGCUGCUAGGCGACCUAAACUGGAACAUGCUUAACACCCCAGCCAUCCUACAAUCUAAACUUGAUGCCCUCAAUCUCACACACAUUAUCAAUGAACCUACCAGGUACCUCCCCAAAGCCUUAAACACGGGCACCCUCAUAGAUAUCAUCCUAACCAACUUCCCCUCUAAAUACACCUCUGCUGUCUUCAACCAAGAUCUCAGCGAUCACUGCCUCAUUGCCUGCAUCCGUAAUGGGUCAGCGGUCAAACGACCUCCUCUCAUCACUGUAAAACGCUCCCUGAANNNNNNNNNNGAUUGCCUCGCCUGGUUCACCAACUACUUCUCUGAUAGAGUUCAGUGUGUCAAAUCGGAGGGUCUGUUGUCCGGACCUCUGGCAGUCUCUAUGGGGGUGCCACAGGGUUCAAUUCUUGGACCGACUCUCUUCUCUGUAUACAUCAAUGAGGUCGCUCUUGCUGCUGGUGAGUCUCUGAUCCACCUCUACGCAGACGACACCAUUCUGUAUACUUCCGGCCCUUCUUUGGACACUGUGUUAACAACCCUCCAGGCAAGCUUCAAUGCCAUACAACUCUCCUUCCGUGGCCUCCAAUUGCUCCUAAAUACAAGUAAAACUAAAUGCAUGCUCUUCAACCGAUCGCUACCUGCACCUACCCGCCUGUCCAACAUCACUACUCUGGACGGCUCUGACUUAGAAUACGUGGACAACUACAAAUACUUAGGUGUCUGGUUAGACUGUAAACUCUCCUUCCAGACCCAUAUCAAACAUCUCCAAUCCAAAGUUAAAUCUAGAAUUGGCUUCCUAUUUCGCAACAAAGCAUCCUUCACUCAUGCUGCCAAACAUACCCUUGUAAAACUGACCAUCCUACCAAUCCUCGACUUUGGCGAUGUCAUUUACAAAAUAGCCUCCAAUACCCUACUCAACAAAUUGGAUGCAGUCUAUCACAGUGCAAUCCAUUUUGUCACCAAAGCCCCAUAUACUACCCAACAUUGCGACCUGUACGCUCUCGUUGGCUGGCCCUCGCUUCAUACUCGUCGCCAAACCCACUGGCUCCAUGUCAUCUACAAGACCCUGCUAGGUAAAGUCCCCCCUUAUCUCAGCUCGCUGGUCACCAUAGCAUCUCCCACCUGUAGCACACGCUCCAGCAGGUAUAUCUCUCUAGUCACCCCCAAAACCAAUUCUUUCUUUGGCCGCCUCUCUUUCCAGUUCUCUGCUGCCAAUGACUGGAACGAACUACAAAAAUCUCUGAAACUGGAAACACUUAUCUCCCUCACUAGCUUUAAGCACCAACUGUCAGAGCAGCUCACAGAUUACUGCACCUGUACAUAG
rnacentral:lncRNA from 13 species